UGGGAACGAGAUAUUGUGGAACCAUGCAUUUCAUUCCAAGAUUAUAAAAUGUUGCAUGGCAUUGGCUUAUUUAUAUACCCAAUGAACGACUUGCAACAUACAAUUUGAUCACCGGCGCCAUGUAGGCAUUAUAUAUCAAACAUGGUAGUUGGUUUGAAGAAUUCGAAAGAAAUACGCGUCUUCUAGCAUUCUAUAGGAAAAAAAAA
rnacentral:lncRNA from 1 species